CAGUCGCCGCGGGAAUACGUAGGUGGCAAGCGUUGUCCGGAAUUAUUGGGCGAAAAGGGCUCGCAGGCGGUUUCUUAAGUCUGAUGUGAAAGCCCCCGGCUCAACCGGGGAGGGUCAUUGGAAACUGGGAAACUUGAGUGCAGAAGAGGAGAGUGGAAUUCCACGUGUAGCGGUGAAAUGCGUAGAGAUGUGGAGGAACACCAGUGGCGAAGGCGACUCUCUGGACUGUAACUGACGCUGAGGAGCGAAAGCGUGGGGAGCGAACAGGAUUAGAUACCCGCGUAGUCCCUGUCUCUUAUAC
rnacentral:rRNA from 1 species